rnacentral:misc_RNA from 1 species
AUUCAAGCCAACAAUUUAUUAGAGGAUCAAAGCCAACUUGAAUCAGGGCCUUGGAGCUAUAGCAAUUCAGGUCCUCAGGGGACUUUUAUUGGAGUGUAUGAUGGACAUGCAGGAAUUGAGGCUUCAAGUUUCAUCAGUCAAUCUUUUCUCCAAUUUCAAGGCAUUUGUGUCUGAGCACCAGGAGGUAUCAGAAAAUGUUCUUAAG